AUUAUUUAGCUUUUUUUUACAGCCAUUUACAUUUUAACAUAUGUUGUGGAAUGUUGUUUCAGCUGCUUCAUGGUGAUGCUGGACUUCUUGUUACAGAUAUGCCAAAAGAAGAGGUCGAAAGAACGCUUAUGAGGAUUCAGACUUUUCAAGGACCGGAAGCACUGCAGUAGAAACGAUAUGUUGAGCUGAAGGAAGGUCCUCUAGAACAAUUCACGCAUGAGAUGGAACCGUUUCUAAGGAAGCAGGGUAUGCCUGUUCGUCUCAACAAAGGUUUGUAAUCACAAGUAUUGAAAGAAACGUUGAUCCACAAAGUUAAUGUCUUCUGCUGAUUCAUUA